rnacentral:lncRNA from 1 species
AAAUUGGGAAUUUCUAACCAAUUAGGAAUUUUUUAUGCAUAAAAUCUAAGAUGAAAUAAAUCCUAUUCUACCUAUGCAUGCAUUUACGAUAAUUAUUGAUAAUUUAUCAUAGUUUAUCAAUGAUUAUCGUAAAUGCAUGCAUAGGUAGAAUAGGAACACAAAGAGGUAUAUUAUGGCCAAUAGGAAUCUAGUCUGUAAAAUAUAGGUCACCGUUUUGUAAAAAAUCCGUAAAAACGGACAUUAAGGUAGACCUGACUUGACAAUAAUAAUUAGCCAGCAAGACACUUGAGUCCAAUUUACUCCCAGUUAGCAUGAAUGGACUGCUGUUACUAUAGGGUAAUACUUGAAUGACAAAGAAACGACAGGACUGCUCUAUUAAUGACACCCAUUUUUUAUCGAACUGCUUGGCGAUCUGCUUUUACGAGAUCAAAUACUCCCAUAACAUUUGCAUCAAUUGAAUCCGGCUGCUAAAAUCGUUUUACCACAUGUUGACAUAAUUUAAUCGUCGUUAAUAAAGUGCAAUCGUUGACAGCAUUAAUCUUAUCCGGACUUUUAAAUGUUUGACGACAAACUGUGCAAAAUUAGAGUUGC